rnacentral:rRNA from 1 species
UACGAAGGGGGCUAGCGUUGUUCGGAAUUACUGGGCGUAAAGCGCACGUAGGCGGAUAUUUAAGUCAGGGGUGAAAUCCCGGGGCUCAACCCCGGAACUGCCUUUGAUACUGGGUAUCUCGAGUCCGAGAGAGGUGAGUGGAAUUCCGAGUGUAGAGGUGAAAUUCGUAGAUAUUCGGAGGAAUACCAGUGGCGAAGGCGGCUCACUGGCUCGGUACUGACGCUGAGGUGCGAAAGCGUGGGGAGCAAACAGG